UUAAGCGACUAAGCGUACACGGUGGAUGCCCUGGCAGUCAGAGGCGAUGAAGGACGUGCUAAUCUGCGAUAAGCGUCGGUAAGGUGAUAUGAACCGUUAUAACCGGCGAUUUCCGAAUGGGGAAACCCAGUGUGAUUCGUCACACUAUCAUUAACUGAAUCCAUAGGUUAAUGAGGCGAACCGGGGGAACUGAAACAUCUAAGUACCCCGAGGAAAAGAAAUCAACCGAGAUUCCCCCAGUAGCGGCGAGCGAACGGGGAGCAGCCCAGAGCCUGAAUCAGUGUGUGUGUUAGUGGAAGCGUCUGGAAAGGCGCGCGAUACAGGGUGACAGCCCCGUACACAAAAAUGCACAUACUGUGAGCUCGAUGAGUAGGGCGGGACACGUGGUAUCCUGUCUGAAUAUGGGGGGACCAUCCUCCAAGGCUAAAUACUCCUGACUGACCGAUAGUGAACCAGUACCGUGAGGGAAAGGCGAAAAGAACCCCGGCGAGGGGAGUGAAAAAGAACCUGAAACCGUGUACGUACAAGCAGUGGGAGCACGCUUAGGCGUGUGACUGCGUACCUUUUGUAUAAUGGGUCAGCGACUUAUAUUCUGUAGCAAGGUUAACCGAAUAGGGGAGCCGAAGGGAAACCGAGUCUUAACUGGGCGUUAAGUUGCAGGGUAUAGACCCGAAACCCGGUGAUCUAGCCAUGGGCAGGUUGAAGGUUGGGUAACACUAACUGGAGGACCGAACCGACUAAUGUUGAAAAAUUAGCGGAUGACUUGUGGCUGGGGGUGAAAGGCCAAUCAAACCGGGAGAUAGCUGGUUCUCCCCGAAAGCUAUUUAGGUAGCGCCUCGUGAAUUCAUCUCCGGGGGUAGAGCACUGUUUCGGCAAGGGGGUCAUCCCGACUUACCAACCCGAUGCAAACUGCGAAUACCGGAGAAUGUUAUCACGGGAGACACACGGCGGGUGCUAACGUCCGUCGUGAAGAGGGAAACAACCCAGACCGCCAGCUAAGGUCCCAAAGUCAUGGUUAAGUGGGAAACGAUGUGGGAAGGCCCAGACAGCCAGGAUGUUGGCUUAGAAGCAGCCAUCAUUUAAAGAAAGCGUAAUAGCUCACUGGUCGAGUCGGCCUGCGCGGAAGAUGUAACGGGGCUAAACCAUGCACCGAAGCUGCGGCAGCGACGCUGAUGCGUUGUUGGGUAGGGGAGCGUUCUGUAAGCCUGCGAAGGUGUGCUGUGAGGCAUGCUGGAGGUAUCAGAAGUGCGAAUGCUGACAUAAGUAACGAUAAAGCGGGUGAAAAGCCCGCUCGCCGGAAGACCAAGGGUUCCUGUCCAACGUUAAUCGGGGCAGGGUGAGUCGACCCCUAAGGCGAGGCCGAAAGGCGUAGUCGAUGGGAAACAGGUUAAUAUUCCUGUACUUGGUGUUACUGCGAAGGGGGGACGGAGAAGGCUAUGUUGGCCGGGCGACGGUUGUCCCGGUUUAAGCGUGUAGGCUGGUUUUCCAGGCAAAUCCGGAAAAUCAAGGCUGAGGCGUGAUGACGAGGCACUACGGUGCUGAAGCAACAAAUGCCCUGCUUCCAGGAAAAGCCUCUAAGCAUCAGGUAACAUCAAAUCGUACCCCAAACCGACACAGGUGGUCAGGUAGAGAAUACCAAGGCGCUUGAGAGAACUCGGGUGAAGGAACUAGGCAAAAUGGUGCCGUAACUUCGGGAGAAGGCACGCUGAUAUGUAGGUGAAGUCCCUCGCGGAUGGAGCUGAAAUCAGUCGAAGAUACCAGCUGGCUGCAACUGUUUAUUAAAAACACAGCACUGUGCAAACACGAAAGUGGACGUAUACGGUGUGACGCCUGCCCGGUGCCGGAAGGUUAAUUGAUGGGGUCAGCGCAAGCGAAGCUCUUGAUCGAAGCCCCGGUAAACGGCGGCCGUAACUAUAACGGUCCUAAGGUAGCGAAAUUCCUUGUCGGGUAAGUUCCGACCUGCACGAAUGGCGUAAUGAUGGCCAGGCUGUCUCCACCCGAGACUCAGUGAAAUUGAACUCGCUGUGAAGAUGCAGUGUACCCGCGGCAAGACGGAAAGACCCCGUGAACCUUUACUAUAGCUUGACACUGAACAUUGAGCCUUGAUGUGUAGGAUAGGUGGGAGGCUUUGAAGUGUGGACGCCAGUCUGCAUGGAGCCGACCUUGAAAUACCACCCUUUAAUGUUUGAUGUUCUAACGUGGACCCGUAAUCCGGGUUGCGGACAGUGUCUGGUGGGUAGUUUGACUGGGGCGGUCUCCUCCUAAAGAGUAACGGAGGAGCACGAAGGUUGGCUAAUCCUGGUCGGACAUCAGGAGGUUAGUGCAAUGGCAUAAGCCAGCUUGACUGCGAGCGUGACGGCGCGAGCAGGUGCGAAAGCAGGUCAUAGUGAUCCGGUGGUUCUGAAUGGAAGGGCCAUCGCUCAACGGAUAAAAGGUACUCCGGGGAUAACAGGCUGAUACCGCCCAAGAGUUCAUAUCGACGGCGGUGUUUGGCACCUCGAUGUCGGCUCAUCACAUCCUGGGGCUGAAGUAGGUCCCAAGGGUAUGGCUGUUCGCCAUUUAAAGUGGUACGCGAGCUGGGUUUAGAACGUCGUGAGACAGUUCGGUCCCUAUCUGCCGUGGGCGCUGGAGAAUGAGGGGGGCUGCUCCUAGUACGAGAGGACCGGAGUGGACGCAUCACUGGUGUUCGGGUUGUCAUGCCAAUGGCACUGCCCGGUAGCUAAAUGCGGAAGAGAUAAGUGCUGAAAGCAUCUAAGCACGAAACUUGCCCCGAGAUGAGUUCUCCCUGACUCCUUGAGAGUCCUGAAGGAACGUUGAAGACGACGACGUUGAUAGGCCGGGUGUGUAAGCGCAGCGAUGCGUUGAGCUAACCGGUACUAAUGAACCGUGAGGCUUAACCUU
rnacentral:rRNA from 1 species